rnacentral:rRNA from 1 species
UACGAAGGGUGCAAGCGUUACUCGGAAUUACUGGGCGUAAAGCGUGCGUAGGUGGUUUCUUAAGUCUGCUGUGAAAGCCCCGGGCUCAACCUGGGAAUUGCAGUGGAUACUGGGAAGCUAGAGUGCGGUAGAGGGUAGUGGAAUUCCCGGUGUAGCGGUGAAAUGCGUAGAGAUCGGGAAGAACACCAGUGGCGAAGGCGGCUACCUGGACCAGCACUGACACUGAGGCACGAAAGCGUGGGGAGCAAACAGG